rnacentral:rRNA from 1 species
UACGGGGGGGGCAAGCGUUGUUCGGAAUUACUGGGCGUAAAGGGCGUGUAGGCGGCCAACUAAGUCCGGCGUGAAAUCCCCAGGCUUAACCUGGGAACUGCGUCGGAUACUGGAUGGCUUGAAUCCGGGAGAGGGAUGCAGAAUUCCAGGUGUAGCGGUGAAAUGCGUAGAUAUCUGGAGGAAUACCGGUGGCGAAGGCGGCAUCCUGGACCGGCAUUGACGCUGAAGCGCGAAAGCGUGGGGAGCGAACAGG